CUGGGACUCGCCCGGGACUGCCGCAGCCUGGAGAUUCAUCUAGAAAGAAUAUAACAAGCCUCCUUCUCCCUGGUGCCCAUGUUACUCCCUGUUGCUACUCUUUCCGAGCCUUCAGUUCCCUGGGUGGUACCCUCAAGUGUGAAAGAGGGAGUGCCCCUUGGAAGCUGGGGAACGAUUUAGGCCCAGGAGAAAAUGGAAGCAAAUCCAACAACCGAACAUGCGUUUGGACAUGUAAGGAUUUCAGCGGUUCCUGCAAAGCAAACUUCUCUGGAGGAGCCCGAGAGACCUCUUCUGUACAGAAUAGCCUUACACCCCAUAGGGCAGUCUGUCAGCAAUGCAUUUGAAAGGGGAGCACACAGACUCCAUGUAAACUGCCCAAUGCUUCCCAGAAGGCUGGCGGCCCCUGCAUCGCUCUGAACUGAAGAGGAGCUGAAGUCACAGAAAGCCAGCCACUACUCGAUUGCCCAAGAAGCAGUCGUCGCACUGGCCCAGCUUCACAGCGGCUCUCGAGUGCUGAGAAAACCCACUGGAAGGGCUUCCUUUCCCUACUCUGCACAUGAGAAUAGCCAUUCCUGUGUCAGUUUUGCUUCUUUCUGGGCUCUCUGAUUAGGAUUUAUUUCCUUAGCUAGAGAAAAUAAAGGGACCUUACAAGGCCUAAUUAGAGCGACUCCUCUCUGAUGUAUUCAAGACACCCUGCUGAAUUGGACUGGCAAGUCCCUGUGUAUUGUUAUUAUUGUUGUUUUAAAGAAGCCAUUUCUGACCAGGGUGGCUGAAGGAGACGCCCUUUGUCGGCCUCUCAUGGUCCUGGCCCUCGCCAAGGGAACUGUUCC
rnacentral:lncRNA from 1 species